rnacentral:rRNA from 1 species
UACGUAGGGCGCAAGCGUUUGUCCGGAAUUAUUGGGCGUAAAGAGCUCGUAGGUGGCUUGUCACGUCGGGUGUGAAAGCUUGGGGCUUAACUCCAGGUCUGCAUUCGAUACGGGCUGGCUAGAGGUAGGUAGGGGAGAACGGAAUUCCUGGUGUAGCGGUGAAAUGCGCAGAUAUCAGGAGGAACACCCGUAGCGAAGGCGGCACACUGGGCCGGUACUGACGCUGAGGAGCGAAAGCGUGGGGAGCGAACGGG